GAUGAACGCUGGCGGUAGGCCUAACACAUGCAAGUCGAGCGAGCGGCGGACGGGUGAGUAAUGUCUGGGAAACUGCCUGACGGAGGGGGAUAACUACUGUAAACGGUAGCUAAUACCGCAUACCAUCAGAUGUGCCCAGACGGGAUUAGCUAGCCGGUGGGGUAAUGGCUCACCUAGGCGACGAUCCCUAGCUGGUCUGAGAGGAUGACCGGCCACACUGGAAAGGAGAAACGGUCCAGACUCCGACGGGAGGCAGCAGUGGGGAAUAUUGCACAAUGGACGAAAGCCUGAUGGAGCCAUGCCGCGUGUAUGAAGAAGGCCUUCGGGUUGUAAAGUACUUUCAGCGGGGAGGCGGUACCUAAAGAAGAAGCAACGGCUAACUCCGUGCCAGCAGCCGCGGUAAUAC
rnacentral:rRNA from 1 species